GGGGGAAUAUUGCACAAUGGGCGCAAGCCUGAUGCAGCGACGCCGCGUGAGGGAUGACGGCCUUCGGGUUGUAAACCUCUUUCAACGCCGACGAAGGGUGACCGACGGUAGGCGUAGAAGAAGCACCGGCCAACUACGUGCCAGCAGCCGCGGUAAUACGUAGGGUGCGAGCGUUGUCCGGAAUUACUGGGCGUAAAGAGCUCGUAGGUGGUUUGUCGCGUUGUUCGUGAAAACUCAAGGCUUAACCUUGGGCGUGCGGGCGAUACGGGCAGACUGGAGUACUGCAGGGGAGACUGGAAUUCCUGGUGUAGCGGUGGAAUGCGCAGAUAUCAGGAGGAACACCGGUGGCGAAGGCGGGUCUCUGGGCAGUAACUGACGCUGAGGAGCGAAAGCGUGGGGAGCGAACAGGAUUAGAUACCCUGGUAGUCCACGCCGUAAACGGUGGGUACUAGGUGUGGGUUUCCUUCCUUGGGAUCCGUGCCGUAGCUAACGCAUUAAGUACCCCGCCUGGGGAGUACGGCCGCAAGGCUAAAAACUC
rnacentral:rRNA from 1 species